UCCUCAUUUCACACACUCUCUCACCGGUCAGAGAGGCGAGAGACUGUGCGAAAUGAAGAGA
rfam:Pristionchus pacificus strain PS312 contig5572, whole genome shotgun sequence.